UAUGUAGGUGGCAAGCGUUGUCCGGAUUUAUUGGGUUUAAAGGGUGCGUAGGCGGGUUUGUAAGUCAGUGGUGAAAUAUGUCAGCUUAACUGAGAGGGUGCCAUUGAUACUGCAGAACUUGAGUACAGAUGAGGUAGGCGGAAUUGAAGGUGUAGCGGUGAAAUGCUUAGAUAUCGUCAAGAACACCUAUAGCGAAGGCAGCUUACUAGGCUGUAACUGACGCUGAGGUGGGAAAGCGUGGGGAGCAAACAGG
rnacentral:rRNA from 1 species